rnacentral:tRNA from 2 species
GGGGGUAUAGCUCAGUGGUAGAGCGUGUGCUUAGCAUGCACGAGGUCCUGGGUUCAAUCCCCAGUACCCCCA